AUUAAACUUUAUUAAUAAUGGGGUCAGAGGCUGCAUUGUCCAAGCUACAGGAGGGCUUUUCCCAGUGCUGUCUGCAUUCACCCACAGUGUGGGCCUGUCUCCUCCAGCAGGAGGCGCCGGGGGACACACACCCAGCGCAGGGCCCGUCCCCUCCAGCAGGGGGCGCCAGGGACACACAUAGCGCAAAUCCAGGCCCCUCCAGCAGGGGUCGCCAGGGACACACACCCAGCACAGGGCCUGUCCCCUCCAGCAGGGGGCGCCAGGGACACACAGCGCAGGGCCCGUCCCCUCCAGCAGGGGGUGCCAGGGACACACACAGAGUGCAGGGCCCGUCCCCUCCAGCAGGGGGUGCCAGGGACACACACAGAGUGCAGGGCCCGUCCCCUCCAGCAGGGGACACCAGGGACACACACAGAGUGCAGGGCCCGUCCCCUCCAGCAGGGGACACCAGGGACACACACACACAGUGCAGGGCUCGGCCCCUCCAGCAGGGGGUGCCAGGGACACACACAGAGCGCAGGGCCCGGCCCAUCCAGCAGGGGGUGCCACAGACAGCUGGACACACAUGGUUUAGUAUCAGUCUAGGUGUAAUUCCCACAGUCACAUCAAGACUGUAACAGAGCCCCCACCCCCACCCUGGUGCUGCUUCUCCCCAUAUGCCCAGUAGGGGGCACUGCACUCCCCUCGGGGGGGGGGGGGGAGGCAUCCAUGGUUCUAUUUGAUGCAGUUCUGAAUACAGCAUCCUCCAGCCAUAGUUUGGUGGGGGGAGAGGGGUUAUAGGGCUCAGCACCCUCCCCCCCAGUAGCCCAGCUGUGGGUCUGGGAACAGACAAGGCACUUUUCAGGGUGUCCUGGGUUGUUCCCACAACAGGCAACUUGUGUCAGCAGGAGAGGGCUGGACAUAGAGCAAAAGAGGGGGGGAGGUGGACACAUAAUGGACAGAGCCAUGGCUGGGGGACAGACAGACAGCUAUUUGGGGUGUGCUGGGAGGGAUGGAGAGGGGGUGUGGAAGGGAUGGAUGGAUAGAUACAGGGGUUGGGGGAUGGAUGGAUAGAUAGAGGCAGUGGGGGGAGAUGGAUAGAGGGUGUGUGGAGGGGACAUGGAUAGACAGAGGGGCAGGGGAUGGACAGAUGGAUAGAUACAGGGCUUGAGGGGAGGGAGGGAUGGGUAGAUAGAGACGGUGGGAGGAAGUUGGAUAGAUAGAUACAGGGUUUGGGGGGGAAGAUGGAUGGAUGGAUAGAGGGGUGGGGGGAAGUUGGAU